UUUCUUGGCCUUCACAUCAGACUGCUUUCCAAUAUACAGCCACCUAAAAGGAAUGUUAUGGGGAAAAUAUAUUUAUUUGGAGCUCCCAUUAGUGUACAUAAAAGUUACCCAAAGGAAAAAACUUGCUCACGCAGGAGUGAGGGGGAUGGAAGAGAACGUACAGGUGACUGAAUAAAAAGAAGUACCUCAGAGAAACUGCGGCUUCGGUUCCAGACCUGCUCAAUAAAGGGAAUAUCGCAAUAAGAUAUCUAUCUGGAGAAAGAAGAGUUUCCUGGCCUCGAAUUUGGUCUUGUCAAGCUCCUGAAUAUUCCGGGGACAACUGGUAAUGGUUGGUCCAGUGUCUCAUGUGAUUUUACUUAUUUGAGAGAGAGAAGGAGAGAG